GGGCCAUUAGCUCAGCUGGUCCAGAGCUACCGGCUCAUAACCGGUUGGUCCGGGGUUCGAAUCCCUGAUGGCCCA
rnacentral:tRNA from 1 species